rnacentral:rRNA from 1 species
CCCUUAGAUGUUCUGGGCGGCCCGCGCACUACAAUGGCGCUUUCAGCGAGUUCCUAUGUUGAAUUUUCCUGGGUAUUCUUGGAAGCGGCGUCUUGACUUGGGAUAGAUCCUUGUAAUUGUUGGUUUUGAACGAGGAAUUCCUUGUAAUCGCGGUUGAUCAGCUCGCGUUGAAUACGUCCCUGCCCUUUGUACACACCGCCCGUCGCUCCUACCGAUGAAUCGUCCGGUGAAGUUCACAGAGUGGCGGUUCGUGGAGUUGUUCGCGAAGUGAAAUGGACCUCACGAUUUAGAGGAAGGAGAAGUCGUAACA